rnacentral:rRNA from 1 species
ACUCAAAGGAAUAGACGGGGGCCCGCACAAGCGGUGGAGCAUGUUGUUUAAUACGUCACUAACCGUAGAACCUUACCAGGUCUUGACAUCUAUGGAAUCCCUCGGAAACGGGGGAGUGCCCGCAAGGGAGCCAUAAGACAGGUGUUGCAUGGCUGUCGUCAGCUCGUGUCGUGAGAUGUUGGGUUAAGUCCCGCAACGAGCGCAACCCUCAUCCAGUGUUGCUACCAGGUUAAGCUGGGCACUCUCUGGAAACUGCCCGUGCAAGCGGGAGGAAGGUGGGGAUGACGUCAAGUCAGCAUGGCCCUUACGACCUGGGCUACAAACAUGCUACAAUGGCGCGUACAGAGGGCUGCAAGCCUGCAAGGGUGAGCCAAUCCCAAAAAGCGCGUCUCAGUUCGGAUCGGGGUCUGCAACUCGACCCCGUGAAGUCGGAAUCGCUAGUAACCGCAGGUCAGCUAUACUGCGGUGAAUACGUUCCCGGGCCUUGCACACACCGCCCGU